GACCUUUUAUUAUUAGUGGAGUAGACCGGGAAAUUUGGGUUUAAAUGAAAGGGGGGGGGGCGGAGAAUAAGGAUGGGCUAAAUUGGACGGAAGAUUCGAAAAGGCGAAGAAGAAGCUUGAAAAUCGCAUUUCUACACGGAGACGUAAUGAAGAAAACUGGAAAAUGAAACAUCUUAGUACCAGGGUGGCACAGAGAAAUCAAACGAGAUUCCGCAAGUAGCGGUGAGCGAAAGUGGAAUAGUUCAAUGGUCUGUUGGAGGAUGAGUAAAUAGUGGAAGAGAGGUGCUCACAUAUCUAAGACUAAAUGUUAGUUCCAUACCGAAAGAGAGAGUACUGUAAAGGAAAGUUGAAAGAGAUUUGAAAAGAUCUUGAAAUCAGUCCUUUAAAGCAGCUGUAAUACAGCGUACCUUUUGUAUAAUGGGUUUAUAAGACAUGGUUUGGCAAAUUUAAGUUAGCUUCUUGGAGAGUUCAAAAGGUAUCCGAGAGAGGGAGAAGAGAAUGGAGGUAAAGAGAAAUCGAGGGUGCUUUCUUUAGUCAAAUUGCCCGAAACCAAGUGAUCUAACCAUGGGCAGUUUUAAGGAACGAACCGGUGGUUGUAGCAAAAACCUCGGAGGACCUAUGGUUAGGGGGGAAAGACCAAUCGAACUUGGAGAUGGCUGGUUUUCUGCGAAAACUAUUGAAGUAGUGCGUUCACAAUUCCGGGGGGGUUUGAGUUAAAAGAAUUUUUAUGGUAAAGCUUGAUCGCUCGAAAGGGGGGGAGAAACCAUGGAUAAAAAAAUCGAAGUGGACAGGCAGACAGUGGGCGAGAAAGUCCAUUGUCAAAAGGGGGAGCCCUAAUCAGAAGUUAAAGUCAUAGAUCGAUUGGGGGUGCCUCAAAAUAGUCAAGUGUAAAAGGAGUAUGGGAUUUAAACAAUGAGGAGGUAGGCUUGGGGCCAGCCAUCUUUGAAAGAGGGCGUAGUAGUCCACUCGAGAAUUUUUUUUUCCCUUAAAAUUAUGGUGGCUAAAAUUGAACUGAAACUUUGAGGGCGAAGUUUGCUUGGUAGUAGAACGGACUGUCGGAUGGUUUAGUGAGAGCCCAAGCAUCAGAAGAGAUAAUGUGAACAUGAGUAAUUAAUUGUUGAAUUGCUUCUCCAGGUUUCCAAGCCUGGGGCUUGGGUAAUACAGCCCUUAAGGUGGCGGCCGAGGGUCGCUUUGAUGGGGGAUAAUAAUAAACGCAUAGAGUGCCAGGAAAGAAUUAUUAAAAGUUGGUACUGUUGUAAACUAACACAAGUGGGAGAUAGUGAAGGGGAAAGUUUUUUUAAGGAACUCGGCUAGUUUUUUAGCUUCCGCUAGGGAGUUUUUAUAACACAAGGCCUCGACUGUUUACCAAAAACAUAGCUCCCUGCUAAUAUGAAAGUAGAAGUAUGGGGGGUGAGACCUGCCCAAUGGUUGUAUCUAAAAGGGUCGGUUGGGCCGACUUUAUAAAGACAACUAAAUGGCUGCGGAACACUA
rnacentral:rRNA from 1 species